rnacentral:rRNA from 1 species
UGGGGAUCUGCCCUAAAGUGGGGGACAACCCGGGGAAACCCGGGCUAAUACCGCAUAACCUCUUCGGAGUAAAGCUGGGGACCUUCGGGCCUGGCGCUUUAGGAUGAACCUGCGUCCGAUUAGCUAGUUGGUGAGGUAAGGGCUCACCAAGGCGACGAUCGGUAGCUGGUCUGAGAGGAUGACCAGCCACACUGGGACUGAGACACGGCCCAGACACCUACGGGAGGCAG